UGAGUCCGGAGCUCGACACCUAAUUCAAUGGGCUUAAGUCUUAAGAAACUUCAGUGCAUACUUAACAUGGAGCAGCCUAUGGACAAUGAUUGCUUCAACACCGCCGUGCAUAUGCUGGCAUGUGACGAGGGAGUAUUGUUCACAGACCCUCCUAUACACUACAUGGAUCUACCAUUUUGUUCCAUGAUGCUAGAGUCAACACGAGGUCAGAAGUUUUGUGAGAAGGAAACUAUUCAGACGUUGGCAAUAUUAUUUGAUAGCUAGCUUGGGAUGGAGAACGACAUCUCAUCAUGCAACAAGAUUUAUCUUCCCUAUGCAUUCAUCGGCUGAUAAAUCUUGUACGUCACCGACAAAGAGGCACGUCGUCUAUAUAUUAUGGAUCGUAUUCAAACAUCACAAUUAUC